CGGACGGCGUGGAAGAUUUAUCUAAUGCAAUUCGGAAAACUGAAUUACAAUUCGCUGGCACCUCGGUAGUUGUAUACUAUGACAAUCUAGGGCCGGAAGAGAAUUGUUUCAAAGUGAUAUCCUACCGUAGACACAAAGUGGCAGUGCAUCGACCGGCUUAUGUUGUUGUCUAUGAUUAUUACGACCGAGAUCGUUUUGCCAUUGAAAC